UACGAAGGGGGCGAGCGUUGUUCGGAAUUACUGGGCGUAAAGGGCGCGCAGGCGGCUCUGAAAGUCAGAUGUGAAAGCCCCGGGCUUAACCUGGGAAUUGCAUUUGAUACUCUGGAGCUUGAGUACGGGAGAGGAGAGUGGAAUUCCCAGUGUAGAGGUGAAAUUCGUAGAUAUUGGGAAGAACACCGGUGGCGAAGGCGGCUCUCUGGACCGUAACUGACGCUGAGGAGCGAAAGCGUGGGGAGCAAACAGG
rnacentral:rRNA from 1 species